AUUGUCAAAGCUGGCACAAUGAAGAGGAAGAUAAGCUGAUGGAAGCUCCUGAGCCACCAGUGGAGGAGCAGCAGAUCUGAGCUUGGAAUGCGGCUGCUCUGCAAAGGCCCGUGGAAGCCAUUUGUCGAAGACUCUUUCAAGAAGAUGUGGGGCAAGGUGAUCCCCAGGAUUGGCUGCAGCUAGAGCCUCCUGCUAUCACUGCUGUAUGGUGUUGCACUGGACGCCACGUCCAUUCUAGUCCACAUGCACACUAGAAUCCAGAAAGCCCCCAUCGAAGGCCUUGUUUACCUAUCACCAGGCCAGGGCCCUGCACGUGGCAUCAGACAGCUCUGCUCCUUACAUGCAGGGGCCUGCUGGGACCCCCUCACACCAGCACCCCCAUGUCUCUGACUCAGUGCCGCAGCUGCUUCAUUCCGCGGGGAAGUACCAGCACAUCAGAACACCCAGCCGCGCCCGCAGUGGUGCCUUAUGAGGACCUGGGAGUGUAGCAGCACUCGCCCACCACGGCGAGCCCCGCCCACCGACUGAAGUGUGGCCCAGGCCCGGCCGACUGAAGGACUCGUUCCUGCUGCCACAUGGGCUGUGAUUGGCACCGCUUUCCCACAAACCAGCAAAUGAAAAUAUUCCCUUCUUCCAGCCUUACCCUUGAGAUUCAUAUUUGAUUUAUUUUCUUCUGUCUUAACCCGUUUUAAAACUCCGGAAGUCCUGUUCCAAAGUCCACGCACAGCCUUACCUCUCUGGCCUGGCCUGCCCGCCUGCCUCAGCCAUGCCAGUCCUCUCCGACCCUCGGA